GAUUAGUUUUGUUAGUUCUGAUGAACAAAACAAAGCAAAAACAAAGAGCUAUCUCAAAUAGUCUAAUGAUAUACUCUCAACCUCCCAGAAAAAUAAGAAACAAGAUGGACUGAAAAAUAGGAGAUGGAAAUAAUAAAUAUUAGAGCAGAUAUCAAUGAAUUAAGACUAAAAAAUAUACAAAGAAUCAAUUGGCUCUUUAACAAAAUAAGAUCAAUAAACUCCUUACACCCUUCUGACCAAAGAAAGAAGGACAAGACCCAAAUUAAUGAAAUUAGAGACAAGAAGGGAUUUCACACAAAAAUUAAAUCCAAAGCAUGAGCAACACUUUGAAAUCUAUAUUCAAAUAGACUAGAAAAUCUAAAAUGAUAAAGGGCUUAGUUUAAGUCUAAAUAGAUAGAUUUCUAAACAUAUUUGACUUGCCAAAACUGAACCGAAGAAAUACAAAUCACUCAACUACAUUUUUAACAAGCAAUGAGAAUGAACUAAUAAUAGUCUCCCAACAAAGAAAAGCCAGGAUUCAAUGGAUUCACAGCUGAAUUCUGUCUGAUCUUU